CAAACUGAAAUUAUGAAAACUAUUACAAUUUGAGCAACCAGGAAAUGGCAGAGCAACUUCUGCAUAGUGCAGUCCAAAAGUAGAAGUAGCAACUCAGAAAUGACCCAUUAAGGGACAACCAUUGCUCUACUGCAGACCCAGGUCCUGAGAAAGAACUUGGUAAAGCACCAAACACAGCAGUCUACUCUACUCGUACUGUGCCAUUACAAUACAGGCUGGUUAGUCCGUGUGUGUGUGUGUGUGUGGUGUGGUUGAAAACAUGACCGGACACACACCAAAAAUGGUUGUAGAGGUGCUGCUUUCUUUAUUUUCAGUGUUCUUUGGUUGAAUAUGGUAGAAAUUGUGAAGACAGUAAAGAGACUCUAAAAUGUGUUGUGUUUGGUAUUUGAUAAAAGCAGAACCAUUAUCUGCAUUUAUGGGUGAAGUCAGAAUGUAUUUACAUGGCUCAGGAUAAAGUAUGCCAAUGCUGCCAUCUAGUGGAGAAUACAAGCAUUGCUCUAAUUUCUGGUAGUCUGCACACCGCUGAGAAAUACUAGACAAUACCUUAAAGCGGAUUAUAGACCUUGCAUGACAAAAAAUUAAGACAUAACAUACUACGUACACGCCUUACUUUAUUAAUUUGCAUUACAACCAGGAAGUCUGAAAUGUGACAAAAGAAUCCAAAUAGAUACCUUAACAGUUUGCUGUCAUUUUACAUCUCCCGCACUGCAUUUCCUCAUUGCCUUCAAAACAUUCGUGCUACAUGGGUGUUGAUGGGAUACCUUUAGAAGUCUUAUUCAAUACUUCACCACAGCAUCCAUAAUCAUUUCCCAAUGGAAAAUACCGCCAAACCAUGACAAAAUCUUGGCAAAAUAAAGCGAAUAAAGACAAAGCAAACUUGUCUCGGCUCACUUUGGAUUUCUCACUCCUGAAAAUAAGGCUUACUUUGUAUCAAUCACCCGAUCAGUGCCCUUAAAUUGUGCGUUAACGUGACAGGCUACAGAGUAAAGACUGGGAAACCACAGAAUGCCACAGGGGCCUGGUGUGUAUACUGUGUUGUCUAUGUACGUUGUAUGGGUGGACAACCUGGACUCAUUUAGGAUACCCCAUAUAUAGAAGGAUGGAGGAGUGGGGAGCCAGGACUACAUUUGAGUGUCCCCUUGGCAGUAGGGUGCAGGACAAGGGUGUCCAGGACUACAUGGGAGAGCCCUCCCUUAGUUGCUGGCUUUGACAGCCUCAAUCUUGCCAUCCUGCUGUUUGAGACGGUAGUCAUUCAGGGCAAUGGCUGAGCCGCAGCCAAACGUCUUGAACCUGGCAUCCACAAUCUUCCCCUGAUCGUCCACCUCAAUCUGUAG
rnacentral:lncRNA from 1 species